rnacentral:tRNA from 1 species
CAAAAUAAAGCUUAAAGUAAGUAUUUCAUUUACAUUGGAAAGAUUCUGUGCAAUUCAGUUAUUUUGA